GACGAACGCUGGCGGCGUGCUUAACACAUGCAAGUCGAACGGUGAAGCGCCUUCCUUUUUGGUGGGUGUGGAUGAGUGGCGAACGGGUGAGUAACACGUGAGUAACCUGCCCCCUUCUUCUGGAUAACCGCAUGAAAGUGUGGCUAAUACGGGAUAUUCUGGGUCUGUCGCAUGAUGGGUCUGGGAAAGAUAUUGUUUCGGUGGGGGAUGGGUUCGCGGCUUUUCAGCUUGUUGGUGGGGUGAUGGCCUACCAAGGCGGUGACGGGUAGCCGGCCUGAGAGGGUGGACGGUCACACUGGGACUGAGACACGGCCCAGACUCCUACGGGAGGCAGCAGUGGGGAAUAUUGCACAAUGGGCGCAAGCCUGAUGCAGCGACGCCGCGUGAGGGAUGGAGGCCUUCGGGUUGUGAACCUCUUUCGCCAGUGAAGCAGGCCUGCCUCGUUUGUGGGUGGGUUGACGGUAGCUGGAUAAGAAGCGCCGGCUAACUACGUG
rnacentral:rRNA from 1 species